CCUACGGGAGGCAGCAGUGAGGAAUAUUGGUCAAUGGACGAGAGUCUGAACCAGCCAAGUAGCGUGAAGGAUGACUGCCCUAUGGGUUGUAAACUUCUUUUAUAUGGGAAUAAAACGUUCCACGUGUGGGAUUUUGUAUGUACCAUAUGAAUAAGGAUCGGCUAACUCCGUGCCAGCAGCCGCGGUAAUACGGAGGAUCCGAGCGUUAUCCGGAUUUAUUGGGUUUAAAGGGAGCGUAGGUGGAUUGUUAAGUCAGUUGUGAAAGUUUGCGGCUCAACCGUAAAAUUGCAGUUGAGACUGGCAGUCUUGAGUACAGUAGAGGUGGGCGGAAUUCGUGGUGUAGCGGUGAAAUGCUUAGAUAUCACGAAGAACUCCGAUUGCGAAGGCAGUUCACUAGACUGCAACUGACACUGAGGCUCGAAAGUGUGGGUAUCAAACAGGAUUAGAUACCCCUGUAGUC
rnacentral:rRNA from 1 species